rnacentral:rRNA from 1 species
CGUGAGCGGCGGACGGGUGAGUAACGCGUGGGUAACCUGCCUCAUACAGGGGGAUAACAGUUGGAAACGGCUGCUAAUACCGCAUAAGCGCACAGUACCGCAUGGUACGUGUGAAAAACUCCGGUGGUAUGAGAUGGACCCGCGUCUGAUUAGGUAGUUGGUGGGGUAACGGCCUACCAAGCCGACGAUCAGUAGCCGACCUGAGAGGGUGACCGGCCACAUUGGGACUGAGACACGGCCCAA